GGAGUAUAGUUUAAAUUUCAGAUGAGAAACUCAUUGGUGGUGUUGUAAAAGGAGAGAUACAAUAAAAUACCUUCCGCUCGCCGUCAUAUUCAUGGCGACUUGUGGUGUCGCAGUUCUUCCUCUAAUCGGCAACGCUAUCAACCCACGUGUGGAAAUGGAGGAAGUGGGUGGUGAGAAGAAGAGUGUGGAGGAGAUUGGGCAAGAGGAGGCCUGGUUGAAGCGAGGCAGAGACGAUCAUAAGUUAAGGUGGAAUGGGAACCAAAAAGGGUCUAUGUGAUUGAAACACACCAUUUUCAGACUUAACCCUACCUUCAUCAAGAUUGGGCAGCAGUUCUCCAAAGAAUGGACAUUCUAGCUCAAGAAUACGUUGAUCAGCUAUCAGAGCUUCAAGAUGAAACUUCCUUCAUUUCCUUCAGAAACUGCACUAGCAAUAUUCGAGGAAGAACUUGGGGCUCCCGUGAAUGAUGUAUUUGAAAGAUUCAACCCGGGGCCAAUUGCUGCUGCAAGUCUUGGUAUUUGAUUCAUAAUUUCUUUCAAUAGCCGAAGUAAAUAGUGAUUGAUUGAGUUUCCUUUCCUAUGUAUACGCUGGAAUGUCCAUCGUGCCCGACUAAAGGGCUUGUUGUGUUGGGUCGAUAUGCAGUUGAAUCUUAUUUGGCGCAGAUAUUGUCUCACGACUUUUUCCACGCUGAUCCUGCAAGUGACACUCAAAGCUAUGAUUGUGAAAAGAAAUCGACUUAGUUAAUGCAUUUCAGUUAAAUAUUUAUGUACUAGGAAUCAGUUUUCCACUGAAAAGGUGUGUGAAGAUUUAGUUGUAACGAUCCUUCCUAAUCCCAUCAUUGGUUUUGGGAUAAGGAAUCCAAUGUCGUGAUGUCAAAACCGUCUGAUCAUGGACUAACAACGCGAGUUCAUGUAUCGUCCUGGAAACUUGCUGUCAACGAUUUCAGUGGUGGAAGAUUGAUCUUCUGUGACAUUGGAAUGAUAGGAAGGUACAUUUCCCUUUCUUUGUGUGUAGUAAUCUUAUGUGUUGCAUUGCAUCCUUGCAGCAUAAGCCAAAACAUAAGAGAAAGCUUGCAUGAUUUAUUUCACAGAGUUUAUCAGAAACAUCGCAAAAAGGUCUUCAAGUGAUGGUCCCAAUGGGUGUUCUAGUCCCAACCAGAGAUAUUAAAGCUGUGAGACGAACAGUUCGGUUCUUCCUUAAAAGUUUUUUGAAGCGCGAACCCAUUUUACAAGUUUGGUAGUACAAAAGAAGAGAGCAAAAAACUAAAGAAAAAAUGGAGAUUUUGUGAAUUUGUGUAGCUUUGAAGAAUGCCUCGCAGCACAAAGAAAAGAAAGAGAAUUGGCGAAAGAGGAAUGUGGAUUCCAGAAGCCACUGAACAACGAGGAAGCAAACGAGAAGAAGAAGCAGCGCCUUUCUGCAAUUGCUGAUCGACCACUCAGUCGUCUGAGCUUCUUACAUCCCGUUGCUCUAAAACUCCGGUGCAGAUUCAGAGAGGACAUUGCUGACUCGAAACCAUAAACAUAGGCACAAAGUUGAGAACAUUUCUCAUGUUCUACUUGCUUUUUGGUGCUAUUUAAGUAUUUUUUGUUGAUAUAAUUCCUCUAUCACCGGCUAGAAACUGCCCUAACGCGAUCCACACGAGCAGCCUGUGUGUCGGGCUUGAAGUGUGGUGCAGACGACAUUAGGCUCACUACUAACUACGCAUAUUUGUUAUGUUUUUCUAAUUUAUCUUCUUGAGUAGACAUGCUCACAGAUCAAAAAACAUUGAACCGGCCCACCAUGGAUUUCGACGGUUCCUAUUCCA